UUUACUUUGAUAGGUUGCCUUCUGUGGGACAAGAAGGUAAAAAGCCCCAGAAAAAGGCUGUUAGAGCUGAUUUCAUCCACUGAAGGCAAGGACAAUGUCUGUGGCAGCAGAAAGGGAAAGCAUUGCCUACAUGAACUUCCAUGUGUACCUCUGAAAGCUGUUACCUAGGCCUGGAUACAUUAUAGAAUUUCAAAUGGUGAGCAACAUUGGGCAUGAGGAUAAUGGAUGAAACCCAGAGGAUUUAUGGAAUCACCGAAGGCUUGAGGUUGGAGGGCAUCUCUGGAGGUCAGCCAGUCCAACCCUCCUGCUCAGGCAGGGUCAGCUACAGCAGGUUGCCCAGGACUGUGUCCAGAUGGGGUUUGAAUAUCUCUAAAUAUGGAUAUUCCUGAGCCUCUCUAGGGAACCUUUUCCAGGGCAAAUUUAAUAAAAAUUUAAUUGUAGCAAUAUUUAAGUAUAGGUAAAUUUGUGUUUGCAUUUGCAUACAGAUACCUGUGUAAAAUUAUGUUGGGAUUUGAUUUUUAUGCUUAGGCUGAGAUUAUUUUUUGUUGGGUUCUUUUUUCAAUGUUACUGGGUUAUAGUUCUAAACACUAAUUUAGGCUCAAGUACCAUUUCCUGCGUUGGAAGCAACGGAGUUUGCAUUCGUUUCUAAGUUUCCUCUGAUUUUGUUUUAUGUCAGAUGUACAAUUUAAAAUGCAAAACAUGUGCUUGAAUUUAUGUACAAUUAUAUGUAAGAAAAUAAUAAUAAAAUUAAAAAAAAAAGGUUGGAGAGGUUUAAAAAGGGGAGGUGUAAUAGCAAAGCUUGAUGAAAUGGAGAAA